CUCCCAGUAGGGAGGGGAAAUUCCUGGGAUGGGUUACCUUGGCAACAGAUUGGAGCAGGGGCAGGUUCUUCGUAAGAUCCCUCAGGGGACAGUCUCCAACUUCCCAGACUCACUCAAAAUUGGCCUCCUUGACCGGACCUGGACCUGACUCUAUUUACCUGUCUACACAGACUGCCUGUCUAAUUCUGGCGUCAAUGGGAAGGAGCAGGGUUUGGCUUCCCCAUCCUAGGGAGUGACAGUCACCUGCAUCCCCUGCUCCCUGGGGAUGAAUACUUCCUUUUUUUUUGGUAGCAGGGAUUGAACCCAGGGGUGCUUAACCACUGAGCCACUACCCAGUCCUUUUUUAUAUUGAGACAGUCUAAGUUGCUUAGAGCUUUGCUAUAAGUUGCUGUGGCUGGGCUUCGAACCUGGGAUCCUCCUGCUUCAGGCAUCUGAGCAUCCUGCCUGGCUGCUCAGAUUCUAACAAUGAAUCUCUCUGGUUCUUUGUCAUUUAUUUAUUUGGUGCUUGCGGAUUUGAACCCAGGGCCUAAUGCACGCCAGGCAAGCACUUUACCACUGAGCCACAUUCCCAGGCCCCUUUGCCAUAUUUUUUAUUUUUUAAAAUUU
rnacentral:lncRNA from 1 species